rnacentral:lncRNA from 10 species
CUGGCCAGGAGUCAGAGAACCAAGCAGGGACAAGAACACUGUAGGAGAAUCUGGCCCCAUUUAAUCCGCAGUACCCUGCCAGAAAAAGAAGGAGAGGCUGAUCCCCAGUAAGAGGGAACAGAGUGGCACCCACAAAUACGGAAUGAAGACAUUUGGAGAAGAAGCGUUUACUGAAAGGAGAUUCCUGGGCUGGAGGAAAACCAUGAUCUACAGUUCAUGUUGACAGAUAUUGUAUUUUUGGUCCUAGAUCUGACUUUUGAAAUGACUUAUCACAAAUUCAAAUUUAGCAAUCAUGAGUGAAGUACCCACGAUGUGCUAAGCAUCUACCUCUGCAGAUAGAAGAACACUUACUGUUCCUGAGCAUGGGAGGGAAUAGAAGUUCCUGGGUCCUGGCCUCACCUCAUCAGGCACUGCCAAAUUUGACACCUCCUUCCUGUUCACGGCAGUCCUUUGCGAUAGGGUAUUAGAUGCCACCAAGUAGCUGCAUAACUCACCCAUUUGGUCAGAGCCUGGGUCUAAGCCAGGUCUGACAGACUCCAAAGCAAGCCCUGUUUACAGCAUGACUGGGAUCCAGUGGACGAGGGAACUGAGCUGUCAAAACUAAGUGACUUGAUUGAGGCCAUGCAGCUGGCGAGGGGAGGACCAGGAUCUGAACCCAACUGGGUCUCCCAAGCCUGGGCCACUGAACCAUUUCACCUCUUGGAAAAACUUAAUGGUCAGAGUGGCCCACCCAGUCCAUGGACAGCAUGGAGGAUAAACUGCUUCCCUAGAAAUCCUCUCCAGCAUUCUUGCCACCACGACUUUGGGACACAUUGACCAUGAGGAGGAGCUGGUCAAUGAUGGACAGGAGUCCAGAUUAGCAGAGAUGUGGUAAUAAGGACACCGAUGCCUAAAUACUUGAAAUAUCCAAUAGGAAGCAUUCCACCUUUGUGCAAAUGCGAACCACAUCUCACCAAGUUCAGGCCAAGGCUGCCACCGGUGACGUUUUGGAAAAGAAAAAAAAAAGCGGGGGGAGAGGAGAGAAACAGAGAAGCAAGGAAUGCAGAAGAGAGCAGAGGCCACAAAAACAGCAGCAACGUGUCCUGUGUAUUCUGUUUCCUUGUAAAACUAUGAAGCAUGUUAAGGAGAUACUUCAUUUUUUGAGGAUUCAUACUCUUGUUUAUAUUAUAAUAAAAACAACCCAUGUUCUUUCUAAAAAUUUAGGCAAUGCCUUCGUGCACAUAAAAGUAAAACAAAAUCACCUGUAAUCCUACCACACGCAGAUCAGCACUUGCUAAUCUUUUCACAGGGAUCCUAAGAAUAUCCUAUUCUCUAUAGAAUAUAGUUGAUUUAUGUUACCUAAUAACUAACUGUUAACCAUUUUAAAAUUCUUCAGUUUUACAUUAUGCUAGAAAAAAGGAGCCGUCACUCUACGUGACAUUUCUGUAUAUUGGUUUAUUCAUUCAAUAAACAUUUUUUAAGUACCUAC